ACCUCCCAGUACCACCACUCUAGGGCCCAAGCCAUUACAUAUGGAUGUUCGGGGAACAUUCAUCUAAAUCAUAGUGAAAAAAACACAGGAAUUUUCUUCCUUCUCCUAAGUUCCUGUCAGCACACAAACAAGAAUAUCUGCCCUCUCCAAUGUACUAAAUAAAAAGAUGCUGCUAGUGAAACAAUGGACCCGUGGCGGAGGAGUAGCGCUCCACCCCCAUGUGAGAGAGUCAUCUGCUCCAGCAGAGGAUCGCCCUGCCCCCACAUGAGAGAGCAGACCCAUGUCAGAGGAGCAGAGUCCCACCACCAGGGGACACAGCAUCAAGGAGCAGCAGGGGUACAGACUAACCAACUAACCAACCAGCCCAAUCCUGGACAAGGACAUACCCAGGGAGAAAAGGGAGCAAUCAGACCCCAUAACUGUAGACAGUAAGUCCAACAGCCCACUUGAACCCCUGCCUUGCAGCCUAAAUCCAGCAGAGAACAGAGGGCUGAUUAUGUUCCCUGUCCCGGCCCGCGGUCUGGUUGCAGAGCCCAAGAAAACGACUCAAGUACAAGGAGUUUGGAGGACAGCGUAAUUCUAAGAAAUCCUGGAAGAAAAGAGAAGUGGUGAGACAAGAAAGAGAAGACAGAGAAUAAACUGUAGCCAAGCCAGCUUUGAACAAAAGUAGCCACUUAGAGUAAUUGUUUUGAAGGUACCAAACCCAAGAAGAAAGGGAGCCCAAGGACUUGUAUACCACUUUUCAUCAAUCACUGAGUGAGGAUGACUGGAUGCGGAGAUGGAAGUAAUUCUCAGACACUCUCAGCUGCUGAAAGGAAGCCCUAGAGAGUGAGAAGUCUGACACACAACAGCAAGGCCAGCAAGGAUACAGACAGGGCACUGAUAGAAAGCCUAAGGGAUCCUCUUCAACCCUAUGCCCAAGGCUAGGAUAUUCUACUCUUUGUGCCUGUG
rnacentral:lncRNA from 1 species